GCGGUCCCACCCACUGCGCCCAGAACGGAGCCCGCGUUUCCGCAGAGCUGGAGCUCCCGGCUCGGGGUCUCUUCCCUCCGCCUUCACGGAACUGCCCCGGAGCCCGCGGCGAGGGCGGCCUCACUGACGCUGCCGGCUCUGGAGGGGCCCCGGAGGCCGAAGCCGCGACAGUCGUGCGGACGGCGGGCCGGUUGUUUCAACAAGUAACUUAAAGACCAAAUGGAAAAAAAGGAGGUUUGUGCCUGAGAUCAUGUUGAUGUGAAACCAGGGAUGGCCACCUUGUCCCAGGUACAAAACAAAGAAUCGCUUUGCACAAAGCCAGAAGGGCUACGCUGAAAGAAUGAUCAGAAAAGAAUAAUACAUAGGUACAAAACAAAGAAUCGCUUUGCACAAAGCCAGAAGGGCUACGCUGAAAGAAUGAUCAGAAAAGAAUAAUACAUAGCAGGCCCACUGCUAGGCCUCUCACCUGAGAAGUCCAGAAUCGGGAAGACACAGGCUGUAUCAGUUGCACUGCGGCCUUAUUCACAAUAGCCAAGAUGGUGAAGCAACCCAAAUGUCCAUCAACAGGUGAAUGGAUAAAGAAGAAGAGGUCCAUGUACACAAUGGAAUAUUUACCAUGGAGAACAAUGAAUUAGUGCUCUUUGAGGCACCACAGAUGAGCCUAGAGAUAAUCAUGGAACAUGAGCAGGCCCACUGCUGAGCCUCUCACCUGAGAAGUCCAGAGUCGAGAAGGCACAGGCUUCAACAGCUGCACUACAGGAAUUUUCACAAUAACCAAGACAUGGAAGUAACCAAAAUGUCCAUCACCAGAUGAGUGGAAAAAGAAGGACUGGUCCAUGUACAAAAUGGAAUAUUCGCCGUGGAAAACAAUGAAACACUGCUCUUUGAGGCACCAUAGUUGAUCCUGGAGAUAAUCACAUAACAUGAGGAAUGGAAAAAGGCUGAACAUCAGGAAUUAAUAAAGCCAUGCAAAUCCAGUGUACAAAAACUUUCACCUCACAGCCUUCAGGAUGAUCAUCAGCAAAAAAAAAAAAGUCUACAAAGAAUAAAUGCUGAAGGGGUUUUAGAGAACUGUGUACCCUUUAGCUGCUGGUGGGAUGUAACCUGGAAACAGCCAGUAGUGAGAACAGAAUAGAGAUGCGUUUAAGGGUAAAAAUGGAGCUACCAUGUGAUCUGGUAGGCCCACUAAUGGGCCUGUCACAUGAGUAGACCAGAAUCAAAAAGACACAGGCUGGCAAUCCUGCACUGCAGCAACAUGUACCAUAGCCAAGACCUGGAAGAAACCAAAAUGUCCAUUAACAGAAAAAUGCACCAAGAAGUCGUCGUCCAUGUACACAAUGGAAUAUUAGCCAUGAAAAAGCAUGGAACAGUGCCGUUGGCACCACCAUAGAAGGAUCUACAGAUAGAUAAUCACCCAACUUGAAGUAAGAAAGAAACCGAAAGACAAACAUCCUAUGACAUCACUUACAGGUGUUACCUAAAAAUUGAUACCCAUGAAAUAAUUUCCAAGAGAAGGACACACAUAGAUUCAGAAAACCAAAUUAUGUUUAACCAAAUGGAAAGGUGUAAGGAAUGUAUGAAUUAGGAUAUGGGGGUUAACAGACAUGUACUAAUACAUAUGAAAUAUAUAAUCACACAAUACCUAUGGGAUACGAAGAGAGGUCUACUCAACACUCUAUAAUAUACACGGGAAAGGAUCCAAAGAGGAAUAGACAGAUACAUUGAUAGGAUGAAUCAGAAACUGUACACCUAGGAGAACUACAUUUUUAUCAAAUUUGCUCUGAUAAUUAAUAAAAAUUAAAUUUAAAAAGCAAACAAUUUAGGAUAUAUAUGCUCUUGGGGCUUUUCGCUGGCACAUUCCACUCUAAUUUGCUGCUUACUAACACAAUUUCCAGGAAAGCUCUGUUGCCCAAAAACCCAGAGUUGGAAAUGUAGAAAAGCUGCCGCCUUGUGGCCGUUUUCCACAAGAGCGGCUUUAAACCCACAGCUAAUGGUCACUUAACAUUCAGAAGGACUCAGGGCUGUAAAGGACACCUGCCCUAAACAACUGUGCGGAGGUAGGGAAUGGCCAAAAAAUUCAAAACUGCAAAUUUUUCAAGAAAAUAAUAUGAAGAGGUUAAUUUGGCUCACUUUUAAAAAAAGGAAAAUGGAUAAAAGCUCAACCUCAGUAAUUAUUAGACUCAUGCAAAUCUAAUCUACAAAAAGGUUUCAACUCACACCAGCCAACUGGCCAUCAGCAAAAAGACUACAAACAAUAAAUAUUGAAGGGAUUUUAGAGAACUGUGUACCCUCUAGCUGCUGGUGAGAUGUAAAGUGGUAACAGCCAAUAACGAGAACAGAAGGAAGCUGCAAUUAAAAUAAAAAUUGAGGUACCAUUCAAUCUAGCAGUCACACCACUGGGCCUCUCACCUGAGACCUGAAUCGAGAAGACCCAGGCUGAAAAAUCUGCACUGCAGCCUUAUUCACAAUAGCCAAGACAGUGAAGCAACCAAAAGGUCCAUCAACAGAUGAACAGAUAAAGAAGAAGUGGUCUAUUUAUACAACAGAAUAUUAGCCAUGGAAAACAAUGAAACACUGCUAUUUGAGGCACCAUAGAUGAGCUUGGAGAUAAUCACAGAACAUGAGUGCCAAAUCACCUCCAUAGCCCGAGUCGCUCUCCAGAAUCGACGAGCCCUGGAUCUCCUGACGGCCGACAAAGGAGGUACCUGCCUCUUCCUACAGGAGGAAUGCUGCUGUAAACACCCUCCAUCGCUUAAGAGAAGAACUCCAACGCAAACACCAACAGUCCGCCUCCCCAAUUCCCGAUUGGUGGCAAUCCACUCUCUAUACCUGGCUAACACCAAUCUGAGGCCCCUUAAUUCUCAUCUGUAUCUUGCUCAUGUUUGCCCCCCGUUUUCUUAGGUUCCUUCGCCGGCGCAUGGAGGAAGUCUCUCGGGUGGCCACAAACCAAAUGUUCCUCGGUCCUUACACCUUACUUCCUACAGAAACCCCCACUGGUCUCCCCUAAGCCUCGGACCUCUGGUCGCCCGACUCCCCUUUCGAUGCCCCCAUUCAGCAUGAAGUAGCCAGAGAUCGGAACGCCGCCCCAUUACACCAAAGAUGUCGGGAUGUAAGGCCAACUGGCCCGAGGCAGGGGGACGCAAUCAGAUUCACAGGUUGCAUCAGACCGAAACUCUCCGGACCACCCAGUUCCAGAAACUGACCUGGAGACAUUCCGGACCACCCAGUUCCAGGAACUGACCUGGGGGAUUUCCACCCGGCCCAGCCUUCCCGCCUUUCGAGGGACGGGACUAGCGGUCCCAAGACUGAUGUAAUCGGCACCAGAUAGUGCCACAACACCCGAAGAGACAACCAGAUAAGGAAUUCCCUGCGCCCUCCCAGAUUCACCACACCCCUUUCCCUUCUAUAAAAUCUUGCCCAGCCCUUGCCCGGGGGCGACUUCUCUGGUCCAUUUCUCUCGGACCAGUGAACCUCGCCCGGGAGCGCCCCCUAAUAAAGCUCACUUGAAGUUUUCCUCUGUUUUGCAAUGCCGUUUGUUAAGAUCCGACCUUACACUUACACAUCAAGGAUGGCUCUGAGCUGAAUUUCUGCAAAACAAGACUAUCCCGUGCAAAGAACCCAGUAGAGCUUUGUAUCCCAUCAGCUACAGAAGAGAAUGGCUGCAGGCUAGGCUACUGAAAGCCAGCAGCAUUUACAACUUAACUCCCAUGGCCUCUGCAGUGGAACGUCUGAGUUUUCUGUUUCUGCCCCUGUACCAAACAGCUCUGGUGUAAUUCCUCGUUCCUUCCUCCACCCACCCCCACCAACCCCUGUCCCCUUACCUGCGGUCCGCAGCCCUCCGCUCCGCGCUCGGAUGCCGCUGGGGUGCCAGGGACCCACGGAACGGGUCGUUCCCAGCAGCCGGGCGCUGGCUCCGUAGACCCCCGCCAGCUCGCGUGGCGCCGACGGCGAGGAGCCCCGAGGACGCCCCGCGCCAGGUGCGCUCUGGCCGGGACGUCCACUUCCAAGACACUCUCUUCCGGCAGAGGUGCGCAGACCACCGCCGCGCUCAGGUGACCCACAGCCAAUGCCGAGCAAGACCCGCCCCGGCGGCGCCGCGUCCGCG